rnacentral:rRNA from 1 species
ACGCUCGACACCUACGGGAGCAGCAGUAGGGAAUCUUCCACAAUGGACGCAAGUCUGAUGGAGCAACGCCGCGUGAGUGAAGAAGGUCUUCGGAUCGUAAAACUCUGUUGUUAGAGAAGAACACGAGUGAGAGUAACUGUUCAUUCGAUGACGGUAUCUAACCAGCAAGUCACGGCUAACUACGUGCCAGCAGCCGNGGUAAUCUGAGCGGGCUGGCAAGGC